GAAGAUUGAGCUUCACACAGGCUAAAACUUCCUCCUGUGUCCAACAUCUGAUAUGAGAAGAGGAGGAUUUUCAGACUGAAAUCUCAAACAAACAUUGUGUCAAGAUCUGAUAGAGUCAUCUAAUUCAUCAGGACCUGAAUAUCAUUGGUCGUUGAAUCUGGAAGGAGAAAUGUUUGUUCUGUCUGCUCUAAAAGGUUUUCAUCAUCAGUGUGACUGAGUAUAAACCGAGACACACACACCUGAGUGAGAAUGUUCCAGUAAAAUGAGUGUGGAAAGAGCCAGUUACACAGCCUGAAAAUAUAUCACACUAUUCACAGUGGGAUGAGGCUGUGCACGUAUUCUGUGUGAGGACGAGGCUUCAACUGAUCAUCAAACCUGGAGAGUCACAAGUACACCUGCAUCAUGGAGAAGCUGUGGAAAUGUGGGGACUGUGGGAAGGGUUUCCGGUUCCCGUUUGCACUGGAAAAUCAUCGAUGCAUUCACACUGGGGAGAGGCUGUUCACUUGCUCCAUGUGUGGGAAGGGAUUCACUGAUUCAUCCACCCUUUGGAAACACCAGCAAGUUCACACUGGGGAGAGGCUGUUCACCUGCUCUGAGUAUGGGAAGGGAUUCAGGAAUUCAUCCCACCUGUUAACACACCAGCGAGUUCACAACAAGGAGAGGCCAUUCACCUGCUUGGAGCGUGGCAAGGGAUUCAGUCAUACAUCCCACUUGCUGACACACCAGCGAGUUCACACAGGGGAGAGGCCGCUCACCUGCUCUGUGUGUGGAAAGUGAUUCAAUCACUUAUCCGGCCUGCUGAGACACUAGCGAGCUCACAGUAGAGAGAGGCUGUUCACCUGAUCUGAGUGUGGGAAGGGAUUCACUGAUUCAUCCAACCUGCUGAGACACCAGCGAAUUUACUCCGGGAGAGACCAUUCACCUGCUCUGAGUAUGGGAAGGGAUUCAGUCAGUUCCCGAGCCUGUGGAAACACAAUUGACCAAUGGAGAAGCCAUUCACCUGCUCAGAGUGUGGGAACGGAUUCUCUCAGUCACCACACCUGCUGAUACUCCAGCGAGUUCACAAGUGAUUCCAAGGUUGGAUUCUGCUGUUAUUGCUGCUGUUAAUCACAUCCACAACUGAACCAUGUUCGUUCUGACAGUUGGUGAAGUGGGACGGUUUCUUUCUGCUGGACUGGCCGAUCUCACAACUUUGCUUCCAGUGGCUGAUGUUCUUUGAGCCUGGGAGUGCCCAUCUCCACUAAAAUGAUUCACAAAAGCUGAUGAAGGACAUUUAAUUUAUCCUGUUUCUUCUACAGGUAGAUCUGAAAUAAAUGCAUUUGUCUCUGUUCCAUUGAGUGUCGAGGCUGGAGAGAGGAUUUAUGAGAAUGACACGAGUCAUCAGUUACACGGUGCAUUGUCCACGGCAAUGCAUCCACUAAUCAGAGUCCAUUUGCCAACCAAUCAGCACUCUCCUCUCAUGAAGUAUAAAUUGUUGUUCCCUUUUCCCUUUUGCGAAUGUUCUGGUGAGUGCAAGAUGAAAACCUUCGACAUCUCUUUUUUCCACAAUUACUGUUUUAGUUAACAAACAGUAACAUAUGAUUGAAUAAGUAGUGAGCCUUAAUUGAGUUACAGUUAAUGAAUCAAUAAUGAAUCAGUAGUUAUGGUAAAAGACUGAGCUUUAUUUGCUGUAGAAAUGUAAAAGCUUAAUUGCUGUGUAUGUAAAGAAUGUGCAAUGAAGAUAAAUGUACUGACAAGAGAGACCUUCUAGUUCUGAUUGUCCUCAACAUUUGAAUCUGUAUGAAUAAGGGAUUGGAGAGAAUCAGAUAAAGGGAUAGUGAAACA